GUUUUUUUGAUAACUUAAUACCGAGAUGUAUUGUAGAGUGUCUGUUUUAAGUUUUUUUGAUAACUUAAUGCAGCAGCAGAAAAAUUUGAUAAUUUAAACCAACUUUGUCCAACAUUUAAGCAAAACAAUGUCUCAACCAACCUAUUGGUUAUCUGAAUGUACUUUUCAUUUUAAACUCAGGGUUAUCAAAACCAGUGAGAGUAUACUAAUUUUAAAA
rnacentral:lncRNA from 1 species